UUCCACUUGCCUGAGAUCUAUUAGGAUUC
rnacentral:piRNA from 1 species